rnacentral:rRNA from 1 species
AGAGUUUGAUCAUGGCUCAGAUUGAACGCUGGCGGCAGGCCUAACACAUGCAAGUCGAACGGUAACAGGAAGCAGCUUGCUGCUUUGCUGACGAGUGGCGGACGGGUGAGUAAUGUCUGGGAAACUGCCUGAUGGAGGGGGAUAACUACUGGAAACGGUAGCUAAUACCGCAUAACGUCGCAAGACCAAAGAGGGGGACCUUCGGGCCUCUUGCCAUCGGAUGUGCCCAGAUGGGAUUAGCUAGUAGGUGGGGUAACGGCUCACCUAGGCGACGAUCCCUAGCUGGUCUGAGAGGAUGACCAGCCACACUGGAACUGAGACACGGUCCAGACUCCUACGGGAGGCAGCAGUGGGGAAUAUUGCACAAUGGGCGCAAGCCUGAUGCAGCCAUGCCGCGUGUAUGAAGAAGGCCUUCGGGUUGUAAAGUACUUUCAGCGGGGAGGAAGGGAGUAAAGUUAAUACCUUUGCUCAUUGACGUUACCCGCAGAAGAAGCACCGGCUAACUCCGUGCCAGCAGCCGCGGUAAUACGGAGGGUGCAAGCGUUAAUCGGAAUUACUGGGCGUAAAGCGCACGCAGGCGGUUUGUUAAGUCAGAUGUGAAAUCCCCGGGCUCAACCUGGGAACUGCAUCUGAUACUGGCAAGCUUGAGUCUCGUAGAGGGGGGUAGAAUUCCAGGUGUAGCGGUGAAAUGCGUAGAGAUCUGGAGGAAUACCGGUGGCGAAGGCGGCCCCCUGGACGAAGACUGACGCUCAGGUGCGAAAGCGUGGGGAGCAAACAGGAUUAGAUACCCUGGUAGUCCACGCCGUAAACGAUGUCGACUUGGAGGUUGUGCCCUUGAGGCGUGGCUUCCGGAGCUAACGUGUUAAGUCGACCGCCUGGGGAGUACGGCCGCAAGGUUAAAACUCAAAUGAAUUGACGGGGGCCCGCACAAGCGGUGGAGCAUGUGGUUUAAUUCGAUGCAACGCGAAGAACCUUACCUGGUCUUGACAUCCACGGAAGUUUUCAGAGAUGAGAAUGUGCCUUCGGGAACCGUGAGACAGGUGCUGCAUGGCUGUCGUCAGCUCGUGUUGUGAAAUGUUGGGUUAAGUCCCGCAACGAGCGCAACCCUUAUCCUUUGUUGCCAGCGGUCCGGCCGGGAACUCAAAGGAGACUGCCAGUGAUAAACUGGAGGAAGGUGGGGAUGACGUCAAGUCAUCAUGGCCCUUACGACCAGGGCUACACACGUGCUACAAUGGCGCAUACAAAGAGAAGCGACCUCGCGAGAGCAAGCGGACCUCAUAAAGUGCGUCGUAGUCCGGAUUGGAGUCUGCAACUCGACUCCAUGAAGUCGGAAUCGCUAGUAAUCGUGGAUCAGAAUGCCACGGUGAAUACGUUCCCGGGCCUUGUACACACCGCCCGUCACACCAUGGGAGUGGGUUGCAAAAGAAGUAGGUAGCUUAACCUUCGGGAGGGCGCUUACCACUUUGUGAUUCAUGACUGGGGUGAAGUCGUAACAAGGUAACCGUAGGGGAACCUGCGGUUG